rnacentral:rRNA from 1 species
UGGGGAAUAUUGCACAAUGGGCGAAAGCCUGAUGCAGCGACGCCGCGUGAGGGAUGACGGCCUUCGGGUUGUAAACCUCUUUCAGCAGGGAAGAAGCGCAAGUGACGGUACCUGCAGAAGAAGCGCCGGCUAACUACGUGCCAGCAGCCGCGGUAAUACGUAGGGCGCAAGCGUUGUCCGGAAUUAUUGGGCGUAAAGAGCUCGUAGGCGGUCUGUCGCGUCGGAUGUGAAAGCCCGGGGCUUAACCCCGGGUCUGCAUUCGAUACGGGCAGACUAGAGUGUGGUAGGGGAGAUCGGAAUUCCUGGUGUAGCGGUGAAAUGCGCAGAUAUCAGGAGGAACACCGGGUGGCGAAGGCGGAUCUCUGGGCCAUUACUGACGCUGAGGAGCGAAAGCGUGGGGAGCGAACAGGAUUAGAUACCCUGGUAGUCCACGCCCUAAACGAUGCGAACUGGAUGUUGGGAGCAAUUAGGCUCUCAGUAUCGAAGUA